CGAACUAACGUGAGCCCCCCUGUCUCUAUCAUGCCCAUGAAACUUAACCUUUAGGUGAAAAGGCCUAAAUGGAACUAAUAGACAAGAAGACCCUAUCGAGCUUCAUCGCUCAAGCUUUACGAAAACUACAGGAUAUUUAACUCUUCCUAAAGCUUCGAGCCAUUUUGUUGGGGCAACAGAGGAACACCAAAACCUUCCUCUUUAAAUCCAAUAUUACAAGACCCAGAAACUCUGAUCAAAGGAAAAGCUACCGUAGGGAUAACAGGUUAAUUUUUCUCGAGAGCCCACAUCAACAGAAAAGUUUGGCACCUCG
rnacentral:rRNA from 1 species